rnacentral:rRNA from 1 species
UACAGAGGGUGCAAGCGUUGUUCGGAAUUACUGGGCGUAAAGCGCGUGUAGGCUGCGGCGUAAGUCGGACGUGAAAGCCCUUGGCUUAACCAAGGAAGUGCAUCCGAUACUGCGUCGCUUGAGUGCCGGAGGGGGUGGCGGAAUUCCCGGUGUAGAGGUGAAAUUCGUAGAUAUUCGGAAGAACACCAGUGGCGAAGGCGACUUACUGGACACAUAUUGACGCUGAGGUGCGAAAGCGUGGGGAGCAAACAGG